UGCCAGCAGCCGCGGUAAUACGAAGGUGGCGAGCGUUGUUCGGAUUUACUGGGCAUAAAGGGCGUGUAGGCGGCUUGGUAAGCGGAGUGUGAAAGCCCGGGGCUCAACCCCGGAACUGCACUCCGAACUGCCGGGCUAGAGGACAGGAGGGGGAUCUGGAACUCUAGGUGGAGCGGUGAAAUGCGUAGAUAUCUAGAGGAACGCCGGUGGCGAAAGCAAGAUCCUGGCCUGUCCCUGACGCUGAGGCGCGAAAGCGUGGGUAGCAAACAGGAUUAGAUA
rnacentral:rRNA from 1 species